rnacentral:rRNA from 1 species
UACAGAGGUCUCGAGCGUUAGGCGGAAUCACUGGGCUUAAAGCGUGUGUAGGUGGAUCGUUAAGUACCUUGUGAAAUCCCACGGCUUAACCGUGGAACUGCUUGGUAUACUGGCGGUCUUGAGCCAGCUAGGGGCUACCGGAACAAAUGGUGGAGCGGUGAAAUGCGUAGAUAUCAUUUGGAACGCCAAUGGUGAAAACAGGUAGCUGGGGGUGUGCUGACGCUGAGACACGAAAGCCAGGGGAGCGAACGGG